GCCUGAGUGGUGGAAUUGGUAGACACGUUGGACUUAAAAUCCAAUGAGCAUUGCGCUCGUGCGGGUUCAAGUCCCGCCUCAGGUA
rnacentral:tRNA from 1 species